ensembl:lncRNA
GGCUCGGGUCAAGCGGUUGGAAUUUGCCGGGUUUUCGCGAAGAAUUGGGCUAGCAUCCUUCGAAGCCCGGGAUCUGCAUUGGUUUCCAUCGUGAAUGAAUAACUGACCUCGAGAGAAUCUCGGCGGAGGAAAUGUCUGAGAACUGCGAGGAAGCACUUAGAAAGGAAAAACCAUUGUUUACAGAAACCAGAAGCCAAACCGGGCUUUUGUUGAUCCCGUUGCCUGGCGGACUAUUUAAUAUCGAAGAGACAUUGAUUGAAUCCAGCUGGAUCACUUUUACAGGUAGGGAAACUGAGGCAUGGAGCUUCCGUUUCUGUCAUUUUGUAUUCUGGGACCACUAUAUCUUUGUGUGUAUUUUGUAUAUAACCAUCAGCUUCUUUGUUUUCUCCCUUUUAGGAAGGAACCCCUUAGAGGGUAGAGUCCGCUUCAUUUCUAGUGCCUGGCACAUUUCAUUGAAUAAAUUGCUGAUUGAUCAAUCGAUUGAUUGAUCGAUUAUAUAAAGAGUAUCAUAGAGCUUCGGGCAGAAACGACCUCGGAAGAAUGUAGCCCAGAUCCCUCAGGGUCCCAAUGAAGCAAAUGGUUCCCUCGCACAUGACGCCAGGUCCCCAUUUCUCGCCCUCUCCCCUCUCCUUCCUGCCCCAGACUCCGAGACCCGGAGACGCGUUCCUGAGGAGCAGAGAAAUUACUCCAAGAAAAAGGGUCCACAAAUGUAGUGGGGAGUCCCAUUGUGAGAAUUCCCUUUCCCCAGACAGAUGGCAGCCCAUCUCUAACCUACCAGAGAACCCUAGAAAGUUGUGUGAAGACUUCUAAUGGGCUCAGCCCUCUCUACACAUCUAUCUAUCUAUCUAUCUAUCUAUCUAUCUAUCUAUCUAUCUAUCUAUCUAUCUAUCUAUCUAUCUAUCUAUCUGUCUGUCUGUCUGUCUGUCUGUCUGUCUGUCUGUCUGUCUGUCUAUCAGUGGAUGGAGAUGCUUUUGUGAUGAGCAAAACACAGAUUUUAAAUGUAUGCUAAUUGGAUUGUCAAUUAAAUUCUCAGUCUCUUGCCAUUUCUUUUUUUUUCUUUUUUGAAAUCUUAAUUUAAUUAGAUGAUUUAGACUAUUUUUCCAUGGUUACAAAAUUCAUGUUCUAUCCCUCUCCUCCUCCCACCCUCCCUCCGGUAUCUGACAAUUCCACUGAGUUUAACGUGUCAUUGAUCAAGACCUAUUUCCAUA